rnacentral:rRNA from 1 species
AUGUGGUUUAAUUCGAAGCAACGCGCAGAACCCUACCACGCCCUUCGACAUCCCGGUCGCGGAUCGCAGAGAUGCUUUCCUUCAGUUCGGCUGGACCGGUGACAGGUGCUGCAUGGCUGUCGUCAGCUCGUGUCGUGAGAUGUUGGGUUAAGUCCCGCAACGAGCGCAACCCUCGUCUCCAGUUGCCAUCAGGUAAUGCUGGGCACUUUGGAGAAACUGCCGGUGACAAGCCGGAGGAAGGUGGGGAUGACGUCAAGUCCUCAUGGCCCUUACGGGCUGGGCUACACACGUGCUACAAUGGCGGUGACAGUGGGAUGCGAAGGGGCGACCCGGAGCCGAUCCUAAAAAGCCGUCUCAGUUCGGAUUGCACUCUGCAACUCGAGUGCAUGAAGGUGGAAUCGCUAGUAAUCGAGGAUCAGCAUGCCUCGGUGAAUACGUUCCCCGGGCCUU